rnacentral:lncRNA from 1 species
CUUCUCGUCUGUCGCCAUGUGAGAUGUACCUUUCACUUUCCUCCAUGAUUGUGAGGCCUCCUUAGCCACAUGGAACUGAAAUGCUGGAGUCCUUCAUCCGAAUGGUAAAUGGCACUUGUGACAAAAAUCAAAGUAACUAAAAAAGAAUCUGGUUGAAACCUCAGUAACAGUUGGCCUGUCUACUGCCUCACACUAACAAGGGGGAGCUAAUAAAACCGAGGUUAGAACACACAAUGUGGAAAUGAAAACCUUAUUCUUGUCAAUGGAUGGAGGGUGGGUAAGUGCCUGGGUAAUAGCCUGAUUCUUCCUAUCAUAUCUGCUCCUAUUGUGGCAGACAAGAGAGCUUGUCCAGGGGAACUUCCAUUGAUAAAACCAUCAGAUCUUGUGAGACUUAUUCACUACCAGGAAAACAUUAUGGGGAAAACCGCCCCCAUGAUUCAGUUAUCUCCACCUGGUCCUGCCCUUGACAUGUGGGGAUUAUUACAAUUCAAGUGACCCCCACCUUUACAAGUGUCUGUAAUUCUCACUAGCAGUAUAUUAGAGGGCAAAAGAUUUGAACAGACACAUCAGAAAAGAAGACAUACAAAUGGCCGCUAAGCACUUGAAAGGAUUCUGAACACCAUUAGUCAUCAGUGAAAUGCAAAUUAAAGCCAUAAUGAAUGGCGCUAUACAUUUUCAGAAUGGCAAGGAUUGAAGACCGAAAAAAAUCAAGCGUUGAGGAGAGUGACAAAUGGGGAGACAGCCGUGGUGCAUGAUCGCCGAAUAAAUACCAUGUGAGGAUACAGCAAGAAGGUGGCCAUCUACAAGCCAAGGAGACAGGCCUCAGAAGAAACCAACCCUUCUUACACCCUGGACUCAGACUUCUAAUCUCCAGAACUUGUUAAUGCACAAGGUCUUGUGUUGAAAAUGUAGAGCCACGAGAUAAAAGCAGCUUGGAUGGCUGACUCAUAUACAAGGACAACUGCCUGAGAGUCACCAGGGCUAUCAAGAAGUUUGCAGAAACAAGAAAUAAACUUUUACUGUUUUAAA